CUCUCUCUACAGUUCUCUCUAUUUCGAUUCUCCCUCCCCUUCUCUCCCUCCCUCUUUCCAAUCAUUUGAUCUGUUCUUGCUCAUUUGCCACCUCUACAACCAAAAUGGACAGAAUCAAAACAUUCUUGCUCAUUUUCCACUGUUGCAACCAAAAGGGACGGACGAUCAAAGUGUUCUUGCUCAUUUUCCACCAUUGCAACCGAAAGGAACAGACGAUCAGAGGAUAUAUUCGGUAUAGGUAUCCAGAUAUCCACGGACAAUCAGAGAUGAAGUAUUGAACACCACCACAUAAGUCUUAGAUAGAUUGAUCAACAAAAGUGUUGGCAACAACAGGUACAUUUGAAGAAGGCAUCGUCAAUUUGAAGAAGACAUCAUUAAGAGUUCAUAGUUUAUCACAAGAGAGGUGUGUGGUGCUUUUAAAAAGGAAAGGAAGCACAAGAAAAGGCAGCUUGAGGACACAUUAAACCUUGUUUUGAAGAAGAGGAAGAGGAGAUGUUGUCAAUGGAGUUUUCUGCGGUUUGAGAAUACAGUACGGAAGGUAAUGCAAAAAUAGAUUGAAUUUGAACGAGGGAAAGGAAUGAAACAAGCUAAGGACAACUUAAACUAAAUCUACAAAGCCAAAAGUUGAGUAACUCGGACCU